GAUGAACGCUGGCGGCGUGCCUAAUACAUGCAAGUCGAGCGAACAGACGAGGAGCUUGCUCCUCUGACGUUAGCGGCGGAAGGGUGAGUAACACGUGGAUAACCUACCUAUAAGACUGGGAUAACUUCGGGAAACCGGAGCUAAUACCGGAUAAUAUAUUGAACCGCAUGGUUCAAUAGUGAAAGACGGUUUUGCUGUCACUUAUAGAUGGAUCCGCGCCGCAUUAGCUAGUUGGUAAGGUAACGGCUUACCAAGGCGACGAUGCGUAGCCGACCUGAGAGGGUGAUCGGCCACACUGGAACUGAGACACGGUCCAGACUCCUACGGGAGGCCGCAGUAGGGAAUCUUCCGCAAUGGGCGAAAGCCUGACGGAGCAACGCCGCGUGAGUGAUGAAGGUCUUCGGAUCGUAGAACUCUGUUAUUAGGGAAGAACAAAUGUGUAAGUAACUAUGCACGUCUUGACGGUACCUAAUCAGAAAGCCCCGGCUAACUACGUG
rnacentral:rRNA from 1 species